rnacentral:lncRNA from 1 species
UACGCUCAACAUAUAUAAAGGAUCUGAACUGAAAUUACUUAAUUCUACUACUCACGUUUGACAUUCGUACCUACACUGAUAAUAUAACUACAGAUAAGUUCAACUAAUCAAAAUCAUUACUAUAAGCAUUUGAUUAUAAUGAAGUAACAGUCCCCGCUGAAACUGCGAAUAUCCACCAGAUUAAACCUAGUUUUACAGAUUAAUCAAAUCUGAGAUUAGGAUACCAAAAAAAUAAAAAUAAAAAAAUCAAAUUAAUUUAAAUAUUGAUGAUGCAUCUGGCCAGCAAUUUAUAACUUUAGAAAGAUCACUUUUAUACACUUCAUUAACAUGGUGACGAAAUAUUUUAAUAAUAAACAACAAAAUUUCUAAAUCUUUUCUCUCUGAUGCGAUGUGUUGACACUACAGUUACUACAAAAUGUUUGUAGUAAACGUCCAUGGGAUUCAAGAAUCAGGUUGAGCUACAUAACAAUAUUUAGGACUCUUUCUUUCAUAUAUGAUUCCUGUUAGGGCUCCAUCUAAUGAAAGAAAGUGAGGUGGAUGCCCGAUCAGGGGGGAAGUAGACAAACAUAUGUAUAUCUU